GACGAACGCUGGCGGCGUGCCUAAUACAUGCAAGUAGAACGCUGAAGAGAGGAGCUUGCUCUUCUUGGAUGAGUUGCGAACGGGUGAGUAACGCGUAGGUAACCUGCCUUGUAGCGGGGGAUAACUAUUGGAAACGAUAGCUAAUACCGCAUAACAAUGGAUGACACAUGUCAUUUAUUUGAAAGGGGCAAUUGCUCCACUACAAGAUGGACCUGCGUUGUAUUAGCUAGUAGGUGAGGUAAUGGCUCACCUAGGCGACGAUACAUAGCCGACCUGAGAGGGUGAUCGGCCACACUGGGACUGAGACACGGCCCAGACUCCUACGAGAGGCAGCAGUAGGGAAUCUUCGGCAAUGGGGGCAACCCUGACCGAGCAACGCCGCGUGAGUGAAGAAGGUUUUCGGAUCGUAAAGCUCUGUUGUAAGUCAAGAACGGGUGUGAGAGUGGAAAGUUCACACUGUGACGGUAGCUUACCAGAAAGGGACGGCUAACUACGUG
rnacentral:rRNA from 1 species